UUCCCUCAGUCACAAUAAUUUUCUUUUUCUUUUCAUCAUCUGUUUCCUACACAUGAAGAAGACUGAAAGCAAAGUGGCUCUGCAGUCAAGCCAAACGAUCAUUAUUCACAGAAGGCCCAGCCAGCAGCCAAUGGUCAGAGAUGAUGGAAGCUGCAGUUCAAGAACAUCGGAAAGGCCACACCCCUGCUGUCCAACUUGUGGUUCAACAGACAGAAGUGCGCCACCACCUAUGACCUGCUCGCUUGAGAAAUAAUCCCUGAGCUACAGCAGAGGGCUGCAGAGAGAAAUGGCAUUGGAAGCUCCCGUCUCCGCCUGCCCAUCUUUCCAUGAGUAGAUCUUUGGUCCAUCAGUAGAUCUAGCCCAAGUGCGUUUGACAGAAAAACUUCUAGUAUGAUAGAAAAUCCAUGGAGUGUCGGUAGCGCACACAGUGUACUACUACAGGAAAGUCAGAUAGAGCUCCGAAGCCCUUUCUACCAUCCAGCAUUUCCAGAAAUGUCAGGCAAUAUCACCAUGAUUUCUGCCUCAUGAAUGAACCACAGUUCCAGCAAAGCCAGGCCGACUGAUGUUCUGAGAUGCUGAUGCCCUCCAAAGAGGAGCAAUGUGUCAUUAAACCUGAAGCUGC